AUUGAACGCUGGCGGCAUGCUUUACACAUGCGAGUCGAACGGCAGCGCGGGCUUCGGCCUGGCGGCGAGUGGCGAACGGGUGAGUAAUACAUCGGAACGUGCCCAGUAGUGGGGGAUAGCUCGGCGAAAGCCGGAUUAAUACCGCAUACGACCUGAGGGUGAAAGCGGGGGAUCUUCGGACCUCGCGCUAUUGGAGCGGCCGAUGGCAGAUUAGCUAGUUGGUGGGGUAAAGGCCUACCAAGGCGACGAUCUGUAGCUGGUCUGAGAGGACGACCAGCCACACUGGGACUGAGACACGGCCCAGACUCCUACGGGAGGCAGCAGUGGGGAAUUUUGGACAAUGGGCGAAAGCCUGAUCCAGCAAUGCCGCGUGUGUGAUGCAGGCCUUCGGGUUGUAAAGCACUUUUGGCGGGAACGAAAAGGACUGUGCCAAUACCACGGUUCGAUGACGGUACCCGCAGAAUAAGCACCGGCUAACUACGUG
rnacentral:rRNA from 1 species